rnacentral:rRNA from 1 species
AGAUUGAACGCUGGCGGCAUGCCUUACACAUGCAAGUCGAACGGCAGCACGGGAGCAAUCCUGGUGGCGAGUGGCGAACGGGUGAGUAAUAUAUCGGAACGUGCCCAGUCGUGGGGGAUAACGCAGUGAAAGCUGUGCUAAUACCGCAUACGAUCUAUGGAUGAAAGCGGGGGACUCGCAAGAGCCUCGCGCGAUUGGAGCGGCCGAUAUCAGAUUAGCUAGUUGGUGGGGUAAAAGCCCACCAAGGCGACGAUCUGUAGCUGGUCUGAGAGGACGACCAGCCACACUGGAACUGAGAC